rnacentral:rRNA from 1 species
CUGGCGGCGUGCCUAACACAUGCAAGUCGAACGGGAAAACAGGGGCAACUCUGUGAGUACAGUGGCGUACGGGUGAGUAACACGUGACUACCUACCCUCGAGUGGGGGAUAACCCCGGGAAACCGGGGCUAAUACCGCAUAACAUCGCAAGAUCAAAGGAGCAAUUCGCUUGAGGAGGGGGUCGCGGCUGAUUAGCUAGUUGGUGAGGUAACGGCCCACCAAGGCGAUGAUCGGUAGCCGGCCUGAGAGGGCGCACGGCCACACUGGAACUGAAACACGGUCCAGACUCCUACGGGAGGCAGCAGUGGGGAAUUUUGCGCAAUGGGGGAAACCCUGACGCAGCAACGCCGCGUGGAGGAUGAAGUCCCUUGGGACGUAAACUCCUUUCGACCCGGACGAUAAUGACGGUACGGGUGGAAGAAGCACCGGCUAACUUCGUGCCAGCAGCCGCGGUAAUACGAGGGGUGCGAGCGUUGUUCGGAAUUAUUGGGCGUAAAGGGCGCGUAUGCGGUGCGGUAAGUCACCUGUGAAAUCUCCCGGC